GACGGAGGAUGCAAGUGUUAUCCGGAAUCACUGGGCGUAAAGCGUCUGUAGGUGGUUUAAUAAGUCAACUGUUAAAUCUUGAGGCUCAACCUCAAAAUCGCAGUCGAAACUAUUAGGCUAGAGUAUAGUAGGGGUAAAGGGAAUUUCCAGUGGAGCGGUGGAAAUGCGUAGAGAUUGGAAAGAACACCGAUGGCGAAGGCACUUUACUGGGCUAUUACUAACACUCAGAAGACGAAAGCUAGGGUAGCAAAUGGGAUUAAGAA
rnacentral:rRNA from 1 species